CUGGUUUGUUAGAACGUGUGCGUGUACAUGUGCACGUUGCUAUUAGGAAUUAAAUGAGCCCAGGGUUUAUGCCAAUCAUCAAGCACUCCACCAUGAAGCUUCUCUUCCUCUUGCCCCUCGCCUCCACUCCUCCUUGAUGCACACAUCUUUGGUGAGAGCCCCGUUGAUGGUGAGAUCUGGACCUUCCAUAAACAGCCCAGCCCAGAGCCACAAUCCAACUGGUACCCAUGCUCUCUGUACCUGUGACCCGACUCAGUGUCCCUGGGGAUGGUAGGGGCCAUCAGAUUUCCCUAGAGCCUUUCUGGAACCAGAUUGUCUCCAAGUGAGCUUCCCACUCUUCCCAGGAUUUCUUUUCUGCAUUCUCAUGUUUAUUGAAGCACUCCUCACGAAAGCCAAGAUAAGGAGUCAAUGCGAAAGCCCAUGGAAAGAUGACCAGGAGCUGAAGAGUCAGACCAUACUCAGACAGCAGAAAUCAGGAAAGAAUACAGAGACCCAGAGUGACUGGACCAGCUACAUUGUCACCAGGAAGUUUCUUUGAGCUGCAGUCUCUGGCCCAGACCUGGUGGAAUCAGAGACUGCAUUUGAACAAGAUUAUCAGACCUGCCCUGGGAGUGUACUGACUUCUGGCAUCCUCUGGGAUUCCCGGAGCUUCACCUGGACUUGGCCAAUGGACAAAGACACUCUCCGCCUCCUGGCUCUCCUCCCCUCCCCCACAGCGUGACCAGGAGGCAGGACUACGUUGGGAAGUGGUAGGCCACACCUACCUGGAUUCCCCACCCAAGUGUACUUGUCUGCUGGCUUGGAGACUGAUCUGGCAGAAGUCUGUGUUUCUUAGAGCGGGAACUAUUGCUUCUGGACCGGCCUAGUGGGUAGCAAGUCGACAUUAAGGCAAGUACCAUCUGGGGCUGUUGCAAGGGAAUGGGCAUGCUGUGGGGUCCAGGGAAGAGCCAGGGAUGAGCCUGCCUUGUGGGGUAGCACAGGGAGAGAAGGAAGGGCCAGUGCUGACCGGUGUCAGGAGCAGGGCCAUGAUACUGUGUUUGGU